GACGAACGCUGGUGGCGUGCCUAAUACAUGCAAGUAGAACGCUGAAGAGAGGAGCUUGCUCUUCUUGGAUGAGUUGCGAACGGGUGAGUAACGCGUAGGUAACCUGCCUGGUAGCGGGGGAUAACUAUUGGAAACGAUAGCUAAUACCGCAUAAAAUUGAUUAUUGCAUGAUAAUUAAUUGAAAGAUGCAACUGCAUCACUACCAGAUGGACCUGCGUUGUAUUAGCUAGUUGGUGAGGUAACGGCUCACCAAGGCGACGAUACAUAGCCGACCUGAGAGGGUGAUCGGCCACACUGGGACUGAGACACGGCCCAGACUCCUACGGGAGGCAGCAGUAGGGAAUCUUCGGCAAUGGGGGGAACCCUGACCGAGCAACGCCGCGUGAGUGAAGAAGGUUUUCGGAUCGUAAAGCUCUGUUGUAAGAGAAGAACGGGUGUGAGAGUGGAAAGUUCACGCUGUGACGGUAUCUUACCAGAAAGGGACGGCUAACUACGUG
rnacentral:rRNA from 1 species